UACAUGGGGUGCAAACGUUGCUCGGAAUUAUUGGGCGUAAAGAGCUCGUAGGCGGUUUGUCGCGUCUGCUGUGAAAACUGGAGGCUCAACCUCCAGCCUGCAGUGGGUACGGGCAAACUAGAGUGCGGUAGGGGAGAUUGGAAUUCCUGGUGUAGCGGUGGAAUGCGCAGAUAUCAGGAGGAACACCGAUGGCGAAGGCAGAUCUCUGGGCCGUAACUGACGCUGAGAAGCGAAAGCAUGGGGAGCGAACAGG
rnacentral:rRNA from 1 species